AACAUAAAUAAUUUAGUCACAAGCUUGAGCGACCGUAUUUUAAUAGCUAUAAAAUAUUCUGUGUUUUGAGUUAAAAAAUUACUGCAAACUAAUUUUAAAAAAAUGAUCCGAUCUGUGACAAUGUUGAUAGUUGCAAUUGUAGCAAUAAUUGCUGUCUUGUUACUAGAAAGUUCAGAAGCGAAACAUAUAACACUUUGUUUACUGAAAUUGUGUUCAUGGGCUCAGAACUACACAAUAACUGAGUGACUCUCGUUAGAAAUCAUGUGCCAAAAAUAUUUUA